UGUCUUGAAGGGGUUCAAGAUCAGCUGAGCCUGAGAGUGUCGAGUGGUACAUAGAGCUCGAGGGAAAGGAUGUAGCUCAGUAGGUGCGAGUUUCCUGUUGAGCAGCUGCUCCCACAGAAAAGGUUCUAAAAGAAGGAGGCCGUGCUUGAAGUUGCGUUUUCUUUCGCAGCCUGUAAACUGCACAGCCAGCAAGGCAACGAUUCCUUCUCCUUCCCCGCUGCACGCAGGAGCCCGUGCCGUCAGUCUCCAAGAGCCAGGAAGCACAGCGGAGCUGUUCCCCGCACUGCCCCCGCAGGAACGGGGCUGGUCUAGCAGAGCGCUUGUCUUUGUCCUGUCAGCGAUCAUCCAAACAACCACACGACGGCGAUAUCUACUCGUAGAAGAAGGAACCGCACCCAGCCCAGCUCGGAAACACCCCAAGUGCUGAAGAGCCAAGCUGAAAAUGUCACUGCUCUCCAAUCCACUGUGUCAGGACAAAACGAUUUCGCUGAUCUUCUCCUUCCAGGGACUAACUGCUAUUUGCACCACACUCAAACGGCAACAUGAACUGAACUGCUUUGCCCUAGGAAAUCUUUCCACUCUCGCAGAGUCUGCUAGACUCUGAAAACAUCAGACAGAGCUCACAAAAGCGCCAGCUGAGAGAGCUCUUGCUGCUUGCAACUUCAGCUGCACCCAAAGAGCUAGCAGCACACCCCCUGGCACCAGCACUUUCCUUCUCAGUUCUAUGUAUCUCAUCACAAUCCUUUCGUCUCACAGAGUGAGGAUCUAAACUAAAGGGCACCUGCAGCUGCUCAGACUCUAAAGGUACCAGGACAAAAUGCUCAACAGCUUGGCUUUUGCCUUCCCACUGCAACAGCUCUAGCCCAUAGAACUGCCUAUUAGGAAAAGCAAUGGAAUCCACUAAGACCGCAUACUGUGCACAACCAAACUUGGCUUCUUUGGCAAAGAGAGGAACUGUAAGAAAUCUCUUGCUGGAGUUUACCUUCCCAUGGUACCUCAUCAUUAAAUGACUCAACACUCUAAGUUUGGACAGCUGGAAAUCUCCAGUGCAAAUCAGCAAUAAUGAAUGCAAGCAACAGACUAGAUAAUCAUGUGGAAUUUAUCAGUCUCUAUUACUGAAGCUCAGAGUGGCAGCCAAAUGAAUACAGGUUUGGAUCACAGACCGCAGUUCAAAAACCUU